rnacentral:lncRNA from 1 species
GGUUAUUGAAUGGGCACAGGCGAAUCUUAACCACCCCUACCACAGAUGAACACUUUGAGCACCAUGGAGUGGAUUGUUGGUAAUCUGUCCGAGUCUCACCCAAACCUGAGCAAAGUCGCUACAGUGGGACUGCUUCUACCAACCUCCACAGCUGAUUGUGAGAGAGGUAUCAGCAGUUGAAUGUGUAAAGACCACCCACCAUUCACCGGUGAGCAUGAAAGUGCUCAAUGCCUUACUCAUGGUGUCCAUGCAGGGACAAAAACUGAAUGACUUUAAUUUCAGUGGUGCAGUAAAGGAAUGGCACAGAGCCAAAGACGGACACUUACCGGUAUAUGAAAACAAAAAUGCCUAUGUGUUGUUAGUGUUAGUACAAAGACAAAGAAUUGGAAGGACAUAUGUGUUGUUCGAAAAUACAUAUAAAAUAAGUGGACAUCUGUCAUGUCUGUGUAGUGUAUAUGAUAUAUUGAUGGUUAUAUGAUUAUG